rnacentral:rRNA from 1 species
UAUAGCAAUAGCUACUUGCAUCGUCUUAGGAUGAUGCAAGAUCGACUAUGUCGAAUAAAAUUCUAGGUAGAAUUAUGAUAAUGACAUUGUCUGCCUAUGUGUCUUGACCAAAUUACGUGCCAGCAGUCGCGGUAAUACGUAGAAGACUAGUGUUAUUCAUGUUUAAUCGGUUUAAAGGGUACCUAGACGGUAAAUCAAGCUUUCCAAGAAAUAAAGUUAAAGGACUAAUUUACUAGAGUUACUUGUGAGGGGGUAUUAAAGUACUGCUGGUGUAGAGAUGAAAUUCUGUCAUACCUCUUUUCAAUAGAAAAAUGAUGGCACAGGUAUAGGCGAAGGCAUCCCCUUAUGUGAUAACUGACGUUGAGGGACGAAGGCUUUGUGUAGCGAACAGGAUUAGAUACCCCAGUAGUCGAAGCAGAAAAUGAUGAAUGUCAUAGAUUAGAGGUAAUUUUAUUCUAUAAAUGAAAGUGUAAGCAUUCCACCUCAUGAGUAAUUUGGCAACAUUGGAACUGAAAUCAUUAGACCGUUUCUGAAACCAGUAGUGAAGUAUGUUGUUUAAUUUGAUGAUCCGCAAAAAACCUUACCACAAUUUGAAUAUUUAUAUUUUUUUUUAUUGUUUUCUUCUUAAUUUUUUUCUAAGAAUAAAGUUAACAGGGAGGCAAUAAGAUAUAUUUACAAGCGUUGCACGGCUGUCUUCAGUUAAUGUCGCGAGACUUUGGUUAGUUCCAUUAAAUUAACGUAAACCCUUACUUUAUUUUUAUAUAGAGUAGUUCCCCGCUAUAUUGGAUAUGAU